CCAAUAGCAUAUAUUAAAGUUGUUGCAGUUAAAAAGCUCGUAGUUGAAUUUCGGGGUUUAUCCGUUGGUCGGGCUUUUUGGUCUGUACCGGCGUGAUGGAUUCCUACCUUCUGAAUAACCAGCAUGUCAUUAAUUUGGUGCGUUGGGGAAGCAGGACUGUUACCUUGAAAAAAUUAGAGUGCUUAAAGCAGGAUAUUGCCUGAAUACAUUAGCAUGGAAUAAUGAAAUAGGACGCAUGGUUCUAUUUUGUUGGUUUCUAGGAUCACCGUAAUGAUUAAUAGGGAUAGUUGGGGGCAUUAGUAUUCAAUUGUCAGAGGUGAAAUUCUUGGACUUAUUGAAGACUAACUUCUGCGAAAGCAUUUGCCAAGGAUGUUUUCAUUAAUCAAGAACGAAAGUUAGGGGAUCGAAGACGAUCAGAUACCGUCGUAGUCUUAACCAUAAACUAUGCCGACUAGGGAUCGGACGAUGUUAAUUUUUUAAUGACUCGUUCGGCGCCUUACG
rnacentral:rRNA from 1 species